CCUACGGGAGGCAGCAGUGGGGAAUAUUGCACAAUGGGGGAAACCCUGAUGCAGCGACGCCGCGUGAGUGAAGAAGUAUUUCGGUAUGUAAAGCUCUAUCAGCAGGGAAGAAAUAGCGACCUUUGGGUCGCCAGACGGUACCUGACUAAGAAGCCCCGGCUAACUACGUGCCAGCAGCCGCGGUACUACGUAGGGGGCAAGCGUUAACCGGAUUUACUGGGUGUAAAGGGAGCGUAGACGGCAGCACAAGUCUGAAGUGAAAUGCCGGGGCUUAACCCCGGAACUGCUUUAGAAACUGUGCAGCUAGAUUGCAGGAGAGGUAAGUGGAAUUCCUAGUGUAGCGGUGAAAUGCGUAGAUAUUAGGAGGAACACCAGUGGCGAAGGCGGCUUACUGGACUGUAACUGACGUUGAGGCUCGAAAGCGUGGGGAGCAAACAGGAUUAGAUACCCCAGUAGUC
rnacentral:rRNA from 1 species